GAUGAACGCUGGCGGCGUGCUUAACACAUGCAAGUCGAACGGAAAGGCCCAAGCUUGCUUGGGUACUCGAGUGGCGAACGGGUGAGUAACACGUGGGUGAUCUGCCCUGCACUUCGGGAUAAGCCUGGGAAACUGGGUCUAAUACCGGAUAGGACCACAUUUUGGAUGGUGUGGUGGAAAGUUUUUCGGUGUGGGAUGAGCUCGCGGCCUAUCAGCUUGUUGGUGGGUAAUGGCCUACCAAGGCGUCGACGGGUAGCCGGCCUGAGAGGGUGUACGGCCACAUUGGGACUGAGAUACGGCCCAGACUCCUACGGGAGGCAGCAGUGGGGAAUAUUGCACAAUGGGCGCAAGCCUGAUGCAGCGACGCCGCGUGGGGGAGGACGGCCUUCGGGUUGUAAACUCCUUUCGCUAGGGACGAAGCGUUAUGUGACGGUACCUGGAGAAGAAGCACCGGCUAACUACGUG
rnacentral:rRNA from 1 species